UACGAAGGGGCUAGCGUUGCUCGGAAUCACUGGGCGUAAAGGGUGCGUAGGCGGGUCUUUAAGUCAGGGGUGAAAUCCUGGAGCUCAACUCCAGAACUGCCUUUGAUACUGAGGAUCUUGAGUUCGGGAGAGGUGAGUGGAACUGCGAGUGUAGGGGUGAAAUUCGUAGAUAUUCGCAAGAACACCAGUGGCGAAGGCGGCUCACUGGCCCGAUACUGACGCUGAGGCACGAAAGCGUGGGGAGCAAACAGG
rnacentral:rRNA from 1 species